UGAUGAUCCUUGGUGUCCCUUCCAACCCAAGCCAUUCUAUGAUUCCACGAAUGAAAACUGCUGUACUGAUUUCUCAGACAGCUGCUUGAAGUGGUCACCUGUAUCUGAAGGAAAGAGAAAAUGGACAGGAAAAAUAAGGCCAGCACUGGAGGCAAAAUGUUUUUAUUAGUUUCUGAUAUUUCAAUCUUACCUAAUUAAGCUGCAGCUAGAACCAAAAAACCAUAUAUCUGUAAAAAGACUAUCAUAGUCCAAAACAAUCCAUAAAAAACUGCACCUAACUGCCUUUGUAUUAAAAAUUGAAAUUCAGAAAGAACUUUUAAAGGCUUUAUUUUCUAACAGCAUCUUCAUAGAGAUAAUAUCCAAGGUUUUUCUUUUCCUAAGUACAGGUACAAGGCAAACAAGCAUCCUACAAAAUAUGGGGAAAAGGCAGUGUAGGAGGGAAAUUAAGACAGUGUAAUAAUCCACUAGCCAGACACACAGGUUAAAUGUAACACAACCAUACCAUCAAUGAAAUACUUAAAAAUGAAAAUAAAUUAAGGAUACACCAAAGUUCCUGCUUUACUUUUGCUGUUAAAAUCCUCAAUAUAUAGUACAUACCACUGCAUUAUGGAUCAUGGCAAAAACUUAUCACUAGCAUUUAAAAAAACUGCUAUAGAAGAACUUCUAUGGAAAUAAGACUGAAGAUACUCCUUCACACAACUGUGAUGGCUAUAGAAAUUCUGCUGAAUCGGGUGUUCAAAUGAGGGCCGUUAGUUUUAAAAUCACUGUGCAUUUCUGUACAGGCUUGGCUGCAAAUCUGAAUGGCUGUGAGAAUGGAAAUGAACAUAAGUGAGCUGAGAUCCACACAUUCUUGCUGUUCAUAUGCUGCCCUACCCCUUUUGUUGCUCAGCCAAGCUGUGUAUUUUGUUCUCCCUGAUACCCGCACCCCAGCAGGAAUGCAGUUUUGCAGAGCAUAGGUUGUUGGUAGCAUUUUUACAUAUUCUGGAAACCAAAACAUUGUUCUCCUAAUGCCCCACAGUCACUGUGCAAGCCAGGAAAACAUGAACACGGGCAUAAAAAAAAAGCAGCCCAUGUGCUGCUUUACCUCUGAUACUUGGUUCAGACCACCACUUACCCUGUGGAAGCCAAUUGCCUGUAAAGAUCAUUAUAGAAUGUUGCUGUUUAUUUAGAAAACAUUUUGAAGUACUCCAGCUUGCUAUUACUGUGCCCUGCCCAGUAACCAGAUAGGAAAAGCCUAAGUGGUGCUUUGCAGGAAUUGCUCUGUAGGUAGAAAAGCAGUUCACCAAACAGGACAACAAACUCUCUAAAGCCUCUGCAGUUUGUAACAUGUAACGGAGAAAAGAAAGGGCUUAAAUGCACUAAAAGGUAUUUAAAGGAAUUCACCCAAAUACGACUUUCUGAUACUACAGUGAACCACCCUGAUGAACUUCUCCCAUUGUGCUAAAUGUAAGAAGGUAAGUGUACAUCUGUGAAAUGCUAUUUCCGUAAUGGUAAGCUCCUUGCUGACUAAGGAUUUAGAUCUGCACUUAUUAGACAAAUCUUCUAGAAGAGAAAAAUAUUUAACGCCUUUAAAGAAAAACCCUAAGCAGUUUCUGGUUUAAUUGUAUCAAAUCUUCAGUGUUAAACCUAAAAAGAUCUGCACACAAUGAUGGUUAAAAGAACCCCUCAUUUGCUCAGUUACUGCAGGGUGGUGCAGACAGGCUGCACCUCCAGAGUUCAUCCCGUCAGGCUGUGGCAGUGACUACUGCCCACUGUUUUCUGCAUUUGUUGUGGUGCUCUCAGUGCCAACAGGUUGCACAUUGUCUGCAAGACUGUGCGCGUGCUCGAGGAAUAAGUCUUUCAGUACGCUCAGCUCCUUGGUCAGGAGCUUAAUUUUCGCCUCUAAACGUUCAUUUUCUUCUUUGAGCUGGGUGACCCUUUGCAGUGUGUCUUGUGCUUUCUGUUUGCUUUUUAACCGGCUCUUUUUCACUGCCAUGUUGUUCCGCUCUCUGCGCUGACGAUACUCAUCGCUGUUUCUAUCCACAAAGGAAUUUUUCUUUCCCUGCUUGCUCGGAGGCACAGCUUUGCCUCCACCACCAGGACUAACGGGAACCAGCUGGGGAACCUGCUGCAAACCACUGCUGUGUGCCUGGGUGUGAAUCACGCUUACUCCGUUCGCAUCUGUAGCGGUGUUCUGCGGGGAUGUCUUGCUCAUUUGGACGGGCUCUUCUUUGACACAACAGAGUAUUAGAAGACUAAAAACUCUUUUCUAGAUCGUGUUUCCAGCAAGUCUUCACAUGGGUUAAGGGCAAGGUGAACCCUGAAGGAAAAACAAAUGCUGUUAAAGGUGCUAUGUUCGGCUACAGUCUUACACAUCACUGCCUUUGGCAGAAGGUACCAAUGGCACAUCUGGCAGCAACACACCAAAACUAUGCUGGAAGUGGAAAAGCUGCCAAUUGCUGGGACAUUUCAGAAGCCUCUCGAACAUAUUUGGAUUGGAAGGGACUGUUACUGGGUCAUCCAGUCAAGCUGUUUGCAUUGUUCACUGGAUUUACUCAGUUAUUCCAAGCCAUCCCUGAUGGAUGGGUGUCUAGCCUAGCCUUGAAAAAUCUCGUUUCACAACCUCUGUCUUGGCAACUAGUUCCACUGUCUAACUUUUCUCCCAGUUAUAUAAUUUUCUUAAUUUCAGACCAAAUUCUUUCUUCUGCAGCUUAAACCCAUUAACAGCCUGACUCCUGACCAACAGGAGUGCUUGAUCCUUGUCCUCUCCAAACCAUCCUUCUGGGUGUAUGCACAUUCCUUGGUGGUCUCUGCUUUAUUCUAGAGACAGUCCACCUUCCCUUGAACAUCUCACAACAUCUUCCAGUGCUUUCACCAGCUUUAAGAUUGUUUUACUUGUUUUUGAAGAUGGAGCCCAAACUGAUGGUUGUUUAAAGUCUCAGCAGUGCUCAGUGCAAAAAUGUAUAAGAAGAGGUAGUGCAUGCUGUGAAGGCUGUGACUGAACGACGCAAAAGGAAAUCCUCAGCCACAAACAAGCAGGCUGAGGCAGGCAGCCUGAGGCAGGGACAUCCUCCCACCUGGCGCUCAGUCUGCUCCCAACCCUGCUGGUGGUACAAGACUUCACUGCUGCCACUCUCCCAGGAGGACCCGUUUGGAAAGAGCAGCUGAGGCCAGCAGAACACAAGAUUUCAGGACAGAGAGAUGUCAGAGCAGACGUUGGAUAGCAUGGCCUUCAGUCCCCUCCAUUUCAGCAUGGCAAUGCUCUCCCAGGCAGCCCAGCUAGGUCAGCACUGGGGAAAUGCCACAUCAACCAGCUGUGUUGUGUCCACUGCAGAAGAACAGGCAGAACUGUCCUGAAAGCAUCACCAACAUCUGACAAGUUCCUUCACAGCACCAGGUUCCACUUGCUAUUCUCUCUAUGCUAUCAAAAGUAUUUAAUAUUGUUCUAACAUAUGCAUAAGAUCUCUAUCUGAUGCCCCCACAAUUCAAAGGAAAAAAUUAUGUGCUCUAUUAAACUGAAAUGUAAUGGGAUAGUUCUCAGUGAAAGAGAAUGUGGGUUGAGCAGAGAAACAGAACCCAAGCGUCACAUCUCCAAGCUGCUGUUAGUCCUGACACAAAGAGCACUUUGCAACAGGUCUUCCCCAGUUCCUGACCCCUGGAACUGCCCUAUGCUUUGUCAACUGUUUCUUCAAUGGGAAACACGCUCAUCCAGCACUCGCGUGGGAGAUGUGACACACGGCUCCUGUCCUGCUCCAAUACUGGGUACCGUGGGGCUCCUUCACGGCUGCCACCAGGAGAUUUGAAGUCGAAACGGUUUUCUCUGGCAAUGAUUCAUCCGUCUGUAACUAGAGCAAAAAUUCCAGGUAAGCAUUAAGCAUUAUCCUGUCCUUACAUAGUUCCCUGUGUGCUCGUAAAGUGCUCCCAUGGGGUUUCCGAGUGCUUUAUGGCUAUUCGAUCAUUCUUCUUCUUUGAAGGAAGAUGAAGAAAAUAAAAUACAGACAAACUCAUUCUUGUGUAGCCUGCUUGUUCUAAACAUUAAAGU